UACUACAAGCGCUAGCUUAAAACCCAAAGGACUUGGCGGUAUCCCAUACCCACCUAGAGGAGCCUGUUCUAUAACCGAUAAUCCCCGUUCAACCUCACCACUUCUUGCCAUUACCGUCUAUAUACCGCCGUCGUCAGCCCACCCUGUGAAGGACUAAAAGUAAGCAAAAAGAAUAAAACUCCAAAACGUCAGGUCGAGGUGUAGCAAAUGAAGUGGGAAGAAAUGGGCUACAUUUUUUUCCAAAAAUAUACGAAUGGUAAACUGAAAACACACCUAAAGGUGGAUUUAGCAGUAAGAGGAGAUCAGAAUACUCCCCUGAAAUCGGCUCUGGGAUAAGCACACACCGCCCGUCACUCUCCUCAAAAAUAACUUACCCUUUUCCAUAAAUACAUUUCUUCAACAAGAGGAGGCAAGUCGUAACAUGGUAAGUGUACUGGAAAGUGCACUUGGAAUCAAAA
rnacentral:rRNA from 1 species